rnacentral:rRNA from 1 species
CGGGGUGCAGCAGGCGCGAAAACUCUACAAUGCAGGCAACUGCGAUAGGGGAACAUCGAGUGGUCCUCAUAUUGGGGGCCUGUCCUCCCGCCUAAAAAGCGGGAGUUAGCAAGGGCCGGGCAAGACCGGUGCCAGCCGCCGCGGUAAUACCGGCGGCUCGAGUGGUGGCCGAUAUUAUUGAGUCUAAAGGGUCCGUAGCCGGCUUUGCAAGUCUCUCGGGAAAUCCAGCGGCUUAACCGUUGGUCGUCCGGGGGGUACUACAUUGCUUGGGACUGGGAGAGGUAGGAGGUACUCAGGGGGUAGGAGUGAAAUCCUGUAAUCCUUUGGGGACCACCGGUGGCGAAGGCGUCCUACCAGAACAGGUCCGACGGUGAGGGACGAAAGCUAGGGGCACGAACCGGAUUAGAUACCCGGGUAGUCCUAGCCGUAAACGAUGCUCGCUAGGUGUCACAACAGUCGUGAACUGUUGUGGUGCCGUAGGGAAGCCGUGAAGCGAGCCACUUGGGAAGUACGACCGCAAGGUGGAAACUUAAAGGAAUUGGCGGGGGAGCACAAGGGCGAAUCGCGG